UACAGAGGGGGCAAGCGUUGUUCGGAAUUACUGGGCGUAAAGCGCGUGUAGGCGGUUGCCCAAGUCGGGGGUGAAAGCCUUGAGCUCAACUCAAGAAAUGCACUCGGUACUGGGUGACUAGAGGACCGGAGAGGAUAGUGGAAUUCCCAGUGUAGUGGUGAAAUACGUAGAGAUUGGGAAGAACACCAGUGGCGAAGGCGGCUAUCUGGACGGUUUCUGACGCUAAGACGCGAAAGCGUGGGGAGCAAACAGG
rnacentral:rRNA from 1 species